CCUACGGGAGGCAGCAGUGAGGAAUAUUGGUCAAUGGACGCAAGUCUGAACCAGCCAUGCCGCGUGCAGGAAGACGGCUCUAUGAGUUGUAAACUGCUUUUGUACGAGGGUAAACUCAGAUACGCGUAUCUGUCUGAAAGUAUCUUACGAAUAAGGAUCGGCUAACUCCGUGCCAGCAGCCGCGGUAAUACGGAGGAUUCAAGCGUUAUCCGGAUUUAUUGGGUUUAAAGGGUGCGUAGGCGGUCGGAUAAGUUAGGGGUGAAAUCCCGAGGCUCAACCUCGGAAUUGCCUCUGAUACUGUUAGGCUAGAGAGUAGUUGCGGUAGGCGGAAUGUAUGGUGUAGCGGUGAAAUGCUUAGAGAUCAUACAGAACACCGAUUGCGAAGGCAGCUUACCAAGCUACUUCUGACGUUGAGGCACGAAAGCGUGGGGAGCAAACAGGAUUAGAUACCCGAGUAGUC
rnacentral:rRNA from 1 species